GAUGAACGCUGGCGGCGUGCCUAAUACAUGCAAGUCGAGCGAACGGACGAGAAGCUUGCUUCUCUGAUGUUAGCGGCGGACGGGUGAGUAACACGUGGAUAACCUACCUAUAAGACUGGGAUAACUUCGGGAAACCGUAGCUAAUACCGGAUAAUAUUUUGAACCGCAUGGUUCAAAAGUGAAAGACGGUCUUGCUGUCACUUAUAGAUGGAUCCGCGCUGCAUUAGCUAGUUGGUAAGGUAACGGCUUACCAAGGCAACGAUGCAUAGCCGACCUGAGAGGGGGAGCGGCCACACUGGAACUGAGACACGGUCCAGACUCCUACGGGAGGCAGCAGUAGGGAAUCUUCCGCAAUGGGCGAAAGCCUGACGGAGCAACGCCGCGUGAGUGAUGAAGGUCUUCGGAUCGUAAAACUCUGUUAUUAGGGAAGAACAUAUGUGUAAGUAACUGUGCACAUCUUGACGGUACCUAAUCAGAAAGCCACGGCUAACUACGUG
rnacentral:rRNA from 1 species